CACAAGAUAUCUAACAAGAUGUAUCCAUCAAAUCUUGUGAGCAGGCAGCAGUGGGUUCCAGCACACCACUUGCCUGUGGCAACAACAAGAAACAGUGGGUUGAGGAUACACUUACACUGCAGUAGCUGUUGGACCUGGGUGCUCCAGGACUUUUUAUUUUCUUCCUGGAUAAGGCCACUUCUGAGACCCAUAGGGCCCAAGUGUGCAGCACCUCUACCUGGAAUGUGA
rnacentral:lncRNA from 13 species